UGUUCUCUCUACCUCGUGGUUCCCUAGCCCUAGAGCUAGCUAGCUGGCAGAGAUCAAGUCAAGCAGGCUAUCGAGCUUUUAACCUCAAUUGAGAAUAAAAGUGAGCAGCCACCGGGCCCGGCCCCUGCCCCUCGUCCAGCAGAAGCCAAUGCAAGUGGUGCGUGUAGCCGAGCCUUGGAAGCAAUUCGCUCUGUUUGGGAGAGGUGGCAAUGAGCCUAGUACUUCUCAUGGGCAAGACACCUUCAACUAAAUUAAAGGGAAAAGUUGGUCUGUCAAAUUAGUGUGUCUCAGUGAGAGAAAUGCCAACCGUGUAGCGCGUAUGACAGAAACUUACUAGUUGGGUGAGAAGAAGGCAGUUCUUCCAAAUCUUGAUUGCUCCCCUUACAUCUCUGUUUCCCAAGCUCGAUGGAUGUGGGGGCUAUGAUCUUCUCCGUUGCGUGCCUAACACCAAAUCACUUGAAGUAAUUUCUUCCACAAUUGGACAAUCCCCAAAGCUACUCAAGAGUGUUAUCGGCAAUGUUCAUUCGACCAAUUCAGAAGAAUCUUGACGUUAAACCCUCCAAAAAAGCUAGCCAACUGAAGGAGAAAUGUAUUCACUGUGAUGCUUCAAUCCAUAUAUCCGACUUACGUGAGCAUGUUAGAGUAUGCAGAUGGAAGAAGUCAAGUUUGGAGAAGGGACUUUUUUCUAGCGACUCCGAGAAUGAUUUUGUGGACUGAUUUUGUGGACUCCCCUCCCCCUUAUGAAUAAUUAUGUCUGUACCAAUUUCUGUAAGUUCAAAUUCUGACCUGGAGGAUGUAACGGCGACUGAUAAAGAAAUGUUGAAGCAUGCACUGAACAUAUCCAAUCAAGUACCACAGAAACCAGAAAGCAGCGAGGAAUUAAUUACACCUCAGUAGGUCUAUCAAGGAUGAAGAGGUUAUCUUGACAGUGAGAAGGAAUAACGUGUUGCAAGAUGCCUUGGAGUGCCCAAGAGAAUUUCAAAAUCACUUGUUGUGGACUUUCUGGGUGAAGCUGGGCAAGAUGGUGGUGGGUUAAGAAGGGAGUUUUGAGUUUUGGUCUGUUCUUGAAGAACUCACUGUUCGUUAACACCAAGACAAGACAUGACAUUACAGCUCUCCAGGAGAAGAAGUUUGUACGCUUAGUAGCAAUGGGAUUACUGCAAGAGGGAAAUGGAAUUCCAUUUCUUGCCCCCCCAGUGUUUCAAUAUCUGUGUGGCACGAGUGCAGAGAUUAGUAUUGAAGACUCCCCCCACACUGGAGGUCAAAUCGUUAGUACAAUUGAGUGAAAGCUGUGCUACCCCAGCUGAAGGAGGGACUGAGCAUCCUUGCUCAUCCUUGCUUUUGGGGAGGCCAUGUGCAACUAUCCGAACCUCAUGGAGCGUUUAUUUGUCACAGGAGUGCGACCACUUCUGUUGAUGGAGUUGAAGAUAGUGUGGGCCUGGGUCAGGUACUGGGUUUCUUCACUGGGAGUGAGUACCCUCCACUACUCGGAUUUGAUAAUAAGAUAUCUAUUCAUUUCAAUAAUGCCGACUCGAAGUUUCCAACAGCAUCUACUUGUGCUCUCCAAUUGACUCUCCCUACCAAAUUCUAUAACAACAAACACGAAUUUCGAAACAACAUGGUUUAUGGCAUAAGAUGCCAUGGAGGGUUUGGAAUGUGCUAACUCUCUAUAACAUGAACUGUAUGAACUAUGUUUAUCAUCAUUAUUUUAUCACUUGUUUUUUUUCCUGCUCCUUGCUAGCGAAUCAGUACAUUUAUUCGUCAUUCAUUCUCAUAAAUCAUGAUCAUGUGUUCCAUUGACUUACAAUGAAAAUUAUUUACAAUGAAAAA